AAGCUAAGUUGAGUUCCAAACUCCGUUUCAAAAAAAAAAUUUCCUCAAUUACGCAGCCCUUAAGGAGAAGUUCGAUUGCUGGUAUCUCCGUCUUAACCCAGUAGAAGACACCGCAAUCUGAGACCUCGAUGAUUGAUCGGACGGGUUUCAAGUAUCGUUCGAAAGCCUUCUUCAUUAUUCAUUUUGGGAAACUUUCAAACUUUCGAUUUUGUGAGAGGUUAAGCUCCAGUGAUAGACAGAGAGGGAGGGGACUUUUCGCUGCCAAUCAGAAAAAGAAGAUUUGCUGAGGGUAAGUCUAGAGAGGAGGAAGGGAUGUCUUGGUCGAUUUCAGCCUGUUCCCAAUUUGGGAAUUUCCGUUUCACAUUCAAAGUUUCAAUCUUUAAAGAGGUGAACUGCAGAACGUUAUGGGAAUCGAGGUUGUGUAAGAGGAAGAAGAGAAAAUGAGUAGCCAACACAACACCUCAGAUCCUUCUUACGAUCCAGAUGUUGAUGUCAUUGGCACAGAGUUUACAGCUUGCUUGCUUCAAUUUUGGACUGGUUGGGAUUUAGGCGGAAUCGGAACGAGGCAGGUCUGUCUUUAUUAUGAUCUGACGGUUCAUACUUCAUAGUGACCUCUGAGAAGAAUUAACUAUCAUAGUAAAGGCGUAGUUCAGCACCUUUAUUUCGGAAGGAACCCACCCAUGUUCACAGAGAUGAGACUUCUCCGCCAGCCUAUUGGUGAUGACCAUUUGGGUUGUUCACUAAGGAUUGGAAAAGACUCUUUUGCCCUUCGUUUUCGGUUUAGUUACGGUUUAGUUGUUGAUGUGUGAAUAAGUGAUGAGACGAGAGAGAAACAGUUGUUGCCGUGCAAAUCAGAAGGAAGUGGUUGUGAUAGAAAGGGAUAGAAACUGAUUGUGAUAGCGAAGGAUUGAUAUAGAUCGGGCUGUUGGAGUAGAGAGGAGAGGAGGAGGGAAUUAAGAUUUUGAUAGAGUUUGGGAGGAGAGAUCUAAAAUUUUGAUCAGCUUUGGGAGCUGGGUUUGCGUUUAUUUCAGAAGAGUUGUGUGCCAAGAUUUUGAUCGAGUUUGGGAGACAGGUUUCGGCAACAGAAGAGAACAAUUGGCUUCAAUCACCUGUCAACAGGUACAGCAACAAGUGAAAUUGGUAGUUGAUGUUAAGAAAGAAGUUGCAAAUCUCAAAGACAAUUUCCGAGCUAUAAAAGCCGUGCUCAAAGAUGCAGAGGAGAGGCAAGUGAAGGAGGAUUCAGUCAAACUAUGGCUGGAUAAUUUAAAGGACGUGUCCAAAGAGAUGGAGGACGUGUUGGAUGAUUGGAACACUGAAAUUCUGAAGCUACAAAUUGAGAAACAAAAGAAAGAAGAUGGAAAUGCUCUUGAUACGACUAAGAAGAAGGUAUGUCUAUGCAUUCCUAUUGCUCUCUUUAAAUCUGGCCAAAUUAGUCGAGUUCUUUUUCGUCGCAACAUUGCUCAAAAGAUUAAAGAUCUCAAUAAAAGGUUAGCAGAAAUUGCUGAUAUUAGGCAAAAUUUUAACUUUCAGUACACAAAAAGUGGUACUGAACUUAUUGAGCGACAAAAGACUACUUCUUUUGUCGAUCAAACAUUUGGUCGGGUAGAUGAAAAAGAAUUAUUGGUGGGUAAGUUGUUGAGUAAGAGUAAUCCUGAAGGGCAGAGCCCCAUUGUCAUCCCUAUUGUAGGGAUGGGUGGAAUCGGUAAAACAACCCUUUCUCAACUGGCAUAUAAUGAUAAAAGAGUCCAGGAAAAUUUCAAAGAAAGAAUAUGGGUUUGUGUCUCAGACCCAUUUAAUGAGCUCAACAUAACCAAAACCAUCCUUGGACUCCUCGGUAGAAAUGUCAAUUCCAUUUCGAGUCCCCUAGACGCUUUCUUCGAAUGUCUGCAGAAGUAUAUUGAGGGGAAAAAGUUUCUCCUCGUCUUAGAUGAUGUGUGGAACCAAGACCAUAUGAAGUGGGCAAACUUGAAGCUACAUUUACAGAAAGGUGCUGUAGGUAGUAAAAUAAUUGUCACUACACGAAAAGAAGAAGUAGCUAGGAUGAUGGGAGCACCCGAUAACACUAUCAAUUUGAAGGUGUUGAGUGAUGAAAAUUGUUGGUCAUUGUUCGCUGGAAUUGCCUUUGCCAAUAGUAACCAAGAUGAGUGUCGAAAUUUAGAACCUAUUGGUAGGGAAAUUGUAAAGAAGUGCAAAGGGUUGCCUCUUGUUGCCAAGAUUUUAGGUGGUCUCAUGUGCUGUAAGAAAGAAAAGAAAGAAUGGCAAGAUGUUUUGAGUAGUGAGAUAUGGGAGUUACACACGAUGGAGCAACACGUUUUCCAACCGCUAUUAUUAAGUUAUUAUGAUUUAACUCCAAUGAUCAAGCAGUGUCUAUUAUAUUGUGUUACUUUCCCAAAAGACCAUGUAAUUAAUAGAAAAGUUUUGAUUGAGUUGUGGAUGUCACAAGGUUUUCUUGUUUCAAUUGGGAACAAAGAAAAGACAAUAAUAGACAUUGGAGAGUUAUAUUUUGAUGACUUGGUAAGGCGAUUUUUCUUCCAGAAUUUCAAGAAAGAUGAAUUUGGAGAUAUUGAAAAGUGUCAAAUGCAUGAUAUUGUGCACGACUUUCUCCAAUAUUUAACCAAGAAUGAAUGUUUAAUAGUUGAGUUCAAAGGUGGGGAGGAGAGAAUAGAAUUGCCCAAUAAGCUUGGUCAUUUGACCAUAAUGUUUGCACCCAAAGGACGUUUUCCCCUUUCUUUUGACCACUGCCAACGUCUGCGGAGCAUUACAACAUUUAAUUGUGAAAUUACAAGUCUCAGCCGAGAGUUGAUUUUACAAUUAAAAUGCGUGAGGACGUUGAAUUUGAGUGACAGCGAUAUCGAAGAAGUUCCGGACGAGGUUGGCGUGUUGGUGCACUUGAGGUAUUUGGAUUUAUCCGAAAAUCGGAGGCUGAAGAAAUUACCUGAUAGUUUGUGUAAUUUAGUCAAUUUGCAAACCUUGCGAGUUGAUGGGUGCGGUAGGUUAGAAAAGUUACCCGAGGCCAUGGGAAAGUUGACCAGCUUGCAGCAUCUUCACGCUCGGCUUUGUCGGAGGCUGAAGAAAUUACCUGAUAGUUUGUGUAAUUUAGUCAAUUUGCACACCUUGCGAGUUGAUUGGUGCAGUAAGUUAGAAAAGUUACCCGAGGCCAUGGGAAAGUUGACCAGCUUGCAGCAUCUUCAUGCUCAGGGUGUUUGGGGGCCGAAGUUGCCCAAAUCAAUUGCGAGGUUGAAAAGUCUACGGACGCUAGAUCUGGAGUAUGUUGUAAUUGAAGGUGAAGGCGAAGGAUUGAGGUUAAGUGAUUUGAGAGACUUGGACGAGCUUCAGGGGAAGCUUUGGAUCAGAUUGGAGGGCAAAUUGAAAGAUAGUGCUGCGAGUGAUGCGGAGAAAGCCAAAUUGGUGAACAAGAAACACCUUCUUCAUUUGGAACUGUGGUUCGACUGGGAGAGGGAGAGCGAGAGCGAGGGAGACGACGACUCAAACCAGAGUAGCAUCCAGGAAGCAGUAUUGAAUGCCUUACAGCCAAAUUCAAAUCUUGAAUCCUUACAGAUCGGAGGUUACGGUGGCAGCACCCUGUACUACCCCAAUUGGACCUCCUCUUUAAUUAACUUGAAACGCCUGACCUUCUCUGGGUACGAUGUUUGUAAGUAUGUGCCUCUUUCGGUUUUGGGCUACUUGGGGUCCCUUGAGACACUCAGAUUUGAUGGAAUGGAAGGAGUGAAAAAGGUUGGAUUUGAGUACUCACUUGAUCAUCAAGUUAUAUUGUUCCCCAAUCUGAAACAACUCGACUUCUCUUCCAUGAUGGAGUGGGAAGAAUGGGAUCAUCAUGAUGAGAAUGAUGCUACUUCAUCGUCACCAACUUGUUUCAUGCCACGCCUUUCUACUUUAUCCAUCUUCGGCUGCGAUAAGCUGAAGACACUGCCAGACUUCCUUCCAAGGAAGACGCCGCUGCUUCAGAAUUUGAUCAUCGACUGGUGUGGCAUUCUCUCCCGAAGUUGCAAAGACAGGCAAGGCCCGGAGUGGUCCAAGAUUUCUCACAUCCCAAACAUCAAAAUUCAACGCAAAACUGUACAAAAAGAUGGAGUUUGGAUCGAACAAUAGGAUUGAUCAACAACGUCAUCCAUCCAAUUCCUUGAUGAAGUUUACAACUCAAUCAUAUAUGUGGAUCUGAAGACGCUUACUGACUCGUCUGACAUGUCUCAUCUUUGCUGCACUUGACUCUUUCUACUCUUUACUAACUUAGGAAGGCGCCUUUAAAUUUAGCCUUAGAACUCAUUGUGCAUCGGGUAAGGCCAACGAUCAAACAAAUUGCAUAAAUUCAAGAUGUAACCAAUAAACUGUAUAUCAAGGCCAGGACUAAACUUGAUAGCUGACAGCUGAAGAUUUUCACUGCAUUGAAACAGCAGAAAUGAUCCAAAAGUCUCAUUUGAUUUCAUGUUCAAGAUUUCCAUGUCAUGCUCACCUCUGCACAUUGAAGACUUUGUUUAAUGUCUGGGGGAAUUUCAUAUUAUCACCCCCCAGGUUAUCAUCAUUCCUCUUCUUUCUUAAGCCCCAGCUCCUGAAAAGCUCAAGAUCUCCAUGGAAUAUUGGAAAGCUGGAAGCCUGGAAUCUCAUCGGAUGUGACCUCUUUGCAGUAGGCCAAAUUGAAGUUACUGAGUUCAUAAUGUUGAGGAUGUGAGGAUUUGACAUAACUUCAACUCAUUUCAUUGAUCACUUUUAUUGUUCAUAAUACUCCAGCUUCUGAAGAGAGACUACUCAGAAGAUGAGAUCCUCGAAGAAAUACUGAAUGCCUACUAUCAUAUCCAAACCUGGAAUCCUUAUAUAUUGGAAACUACAAUGCCACCAAAUUGAUGCCCCAUUGUCUUUGACUAAUUUGAAAAGGCUUGAGUUCUCAUGUUGGCUUUGGGGAACAUGGCGGUGUCCUUUGUCUCUGGUGCAAUAUUUGAAGAUGUCUGUUGUGAACAGGAGUGGGAAGGAAUUGCAACUGGGUCCUGGUGGAGUGGAGAGGUUGAUUUUCAAAUUAAAACACUUCUGCAAAUUUGAGGAUUAUAGCUUGCCUAAUUCUUAGCCAAAGUUUCUGAAAAAGAGGAAACGAGGAGUGGCUCAACAUUUCUCAUAUCCUAAACAUCCAAAUUAAUAAUGAGUUUGUACAAACAGACGGAGUUUGGAUCCGACAAGAAGCUGGUGAAACCCUGCCCUUAAUUAAUUACUUCAUCAUCAACGCAUGCAUCUCGAUCUUCUUCGUGAUUCUGUUCAUGUUAGGUUUUUUUAUGUCCAAAAAAUAGUGGAGGAGAUGGACGGCAGUAGAAGACACUGGUGAAGAAUUUGUUCAUCUUGGGUGGACCAGAUCUGCAGAAGGUGCAAGAGCAGAGGCCUGGAAUCACAGAAUGGCCCAAGAUUUCUCACAUUCUGAACAUCCAGUGUUCUCUAACUAGCUGAACAGGUAUGUUGCAAAUGGUUGACAAAUUACCCAAGGCCAUGGGAAAGCUGCUUAACUUACAGUAUCACAAAUAAU